UGCAGUCGAACGGUAACAGGUCUUCGGACGCUGACGAGUGGCGAACGGGUGAGUAAUACAUCGGAACGUGCCCAGUCGUGGGGGAUAACUACUCGAAAGAGUAGCUAAUACCGCAUACGAUCUGAGGAUGAAAGCGGGGGACCUUCGGGCCUCGCGCGAUUGGAGCGGCCGAUGGCAGAUUAGGUAGUUGGUGGGAUAAAAGCUUACCAAGCCGACGAUCUGUAGCUGGUCUGAGAGGACGACCAGCCACACUGGGACUGAGACACGGCCCAGACUCCUACGGGAGGCAGCAGUGGGGAAUUUUGGACAAUGGGCGAAAGCCUGAUCCAGCAAUGCCGCGUGCAGGAUGAAGGCCUUCGGGUUGUAAACUGCUUUUGUACGGAACGAAAAAGCUUCUCCUAAUACGAGAGGCCCAUGACGGUACCGUAAGAAUAAGCACCGGCUAACUACGUGCCAGCAGCCGCGGUAAUACGUAGGGUGCGAGCGUUAAUCGGAAUUACUGGGCGUAAAGCGUGCGCAGGCGGUUAUGUAAGACAGAUGUGAAAUCCCCGGGCUCAACCUGGGAACUGCAUUUGUGACUGCAUGGCUAGAGUACGGUAGAGGGGGAUGGAAUUCCGCGUGUAGCAGUGAAU
rnacentral:rRNA from 1 species